rnacentral:rRNA from 1 species
CAGAGGUCCCGAGCGUUGUUCGGAUUCACUGGGCGUAAAGGGUGCGUAGGUGGUGAGGUAAGUCGGAUGUGAAAUCUCCGGGCUCAACCCGGAAACUGCAUUGGAAACUACCUUGCUUGAGGUUUUGAGGGGGGACUGGAAUUCUCGGUGUAGCAGUGAAAUGCGUAGAUAUCGAGAGGAACACCAGUGGCGAAGGCGAGUCCCUGGAAACACCUGACACUGAGGCACGAAAGCUAGGGGAGCAAACAGGAUUAGAUACCCUGGUAGUCCUAGCCCUAAACGGUGCUUGCUUGCUGUAAGUGGAAUCGACCCCACUUGUGGCGGAGCUAACGCGUUAAGCAAGCCGCCUGGGAAGUACGGUCGCAAGAUUA